rnacentral:rRNA from 1 species
UACGAAGGGGGCUAGCGUUGUUCGGAAUCACUGGGCGUAAAGCGCACGUAGGCGGAUCUUUAAGUCAGGGGUGAAAUCCCGGGGCUCAACCUCGGAACUGCCUUUGAUACUGCAAAUCUCGAGUCCGGAAGAGGUGAGUGGAAUUCCUAGUGUAGAGGUGAAAUUCGUAGAUAUUAGGAAGAACACCAGUGGCGAAGGCGGCUCACUGGUCCGGUACUGACGCUGAGGUGCGAAAGCGUGGGGAGCAAACAGG